AGUGAACGCUGGCGGUAGGCCUAACACAUGCAAGUCGAACGGCAGCACAGUAAGAGCUUGCUCUUACGGGUGGCGAGUGGCGGACGGGUGAGGAAUACAUCGGAAUCUACUUUUUCGUGGGGGAUAACGUAGGGAAACUUACGCUAAUACCGCAUACGACCUACGGGUGAAAGCAGGGGAUCUUCGGACCUUGCGCGAUUGAAUGAGCCGAUGUCGGAUUAGCUAGUUGGCGGGGUAAAGGCCCACCAAGGCGACGAUCCGUAGCUGGUCUGAGAGGAUGAUCAGCCACACUGGAACUGAGACACGGUCCAGACUCCUACGGGAGGCAGCAGUGGGGAAUAUUGGACAAUGGGCGCAAGCCUGAUCCAGCCAUACCGCGUGGGUGAAGAAGGCCUUCGGGUCGUAAAGCCCUUUUGUUGGGAAAGAUAAGCAGCAGGUUAAUACCCCGCUGUUCUGACGGUACCCAAAGAAUAAGCACCGGCUAACUUCGUG
rnacentral:rRNA from 1 species